rnacentral:rRNA from 1 species
AGAGUUUGAUCCUGGCUCAGAACGAACGUUGGCGGUGUGCCUAAUACAUGCAAGUCGAGCGAGAAAACCGGGGCAACUCGGUGAGUACAGCGGCGGAAGGGUGCGUAAUACAUGGUUAACGUACCCCCCAGUUCGGGAUAACCCUCCGAAAGGUGGGCUAAUACCGGGUAAUGGCAACGGGUGGCAUCAUCUGUUGCUUAAAGCCGUAAGGCGCUGGGGGAGCGGACCAUGGCCUAUCAGCUAGUUGGCGGGGUAACGGCCCACCAAGGCAAUGACGGGUAGCCGGACUGAGAGGUUGAACGGCCACACGGGAACUGAGACACGGUCCCGACAUCUACGGAUGGCAGCAGUAGGGAAUCUUGCGCAAUGGGCGAAAGCCUGACGCAGCGACACCGCGUGGGGGAUGAAGGCCUUCGGGUUGUAAACCCCUUUCAUGAGGGAAGAACACUGACCUAACCUCAGGAAGAAGCACCGGCUAACUCCGUGCCAGCAGCUGCGGUAAUACGGAGAGUGCAAACGUUGUUCGGAUUCACUGGGCGUAAAGGGCACGUAGGCGGCUCGGCAAAUCGGUCGUGGAAUCCAGACGCUUACCGUCUGAACGGCGGCCGAAAAUACCGGGCUCGAGGGCGUGAGGGGUCACUGGAACUCCUGGUGAAGCGGUGAAAUGCGUAGAUAUCAGGAGGAACGCCGGAGGCGAAAGCGAGUGACUGGCGCGUUCCUGACGCUGAGGUGCGAAAGCUAGGGGAGCAAACAGGAUUAGAUACCCUGGUAGUCCUAGCCGUAAACGAUGGACACUGAGUGGAGGAGGGCUUGCCUUUCUCUGCUGCAGCUAACGCGUUAAGUGUCCCGCCUGGGGAGUACGGCCGCAAGGUUAAAACUCAAAGGAAUUGACGG